UCGUCAGGGAACGUUUUGGAAACGAUCUCGUUGUUAAAAUAGAAGUGACGUUGCAUUAUUGUUAGUUUCAGCAACAUACAAGGAGGAGAAGGUUGUGUUAGACAUCUGUCUUAGUUUGAACUGAAUAUUUCUUAUUUAGUUUGUUAUUCAUUUGAAAAUCAAGACCGAUAUGGAAUCGGGAAACGAUAAGAAACUGAAGAAAACCAGACGAGGAAAGAAAAGCGGGCGUAGAUCGCGUGUGGCACGAGGUCUGGGUGUUCACACUUUGUCCACAUAGUGGACGGUCUUGAUCAUAGAAUCAAAAGUGGACAUCCCAAAGACCAGCAGUGAUGCUUAACGGGCACAUGUCCUCUUCACAUUCCUCGGUUUCGUCAUCGGUGAAAACGUGAUGGAAUUAUGUGACAUCAGAAUUGAUGUAGCCAGGCGCCAUCAUAGUGAUAUAUGAUGACAACAAAUGUGUGAAGUUUUACAGUCUCUGUGGACACAGAUGAAUCAACUGCUUGCCACUUUUUGGACUCCUCAAGAAUGCUGAUGCAGUGCUGCAAUCUGUCUAGAGUUGACUGGGAUGCUGUAGGGAAAGAAAAGAAAAUCCUGUUUAUUAAAAACUCCAAGAAUAUAUAGUGUAUGAGCAAAUUAUUGUUUUGAAACCAUCACCAGAAUGUUCAUAUUGAUUUUUAUGUCUCUGAAAUUGUUUAAGUUUAACCAUAAUUAAUAAAAAUAUGAUCAUGGAUUUUUGAAGUUUAAAAAUAUUGAUUGUAAGUUUGUACAUUACAGAAUAUUUAUGUUGUUUUAAAUGGUUAAACUAUUAAAAUAAUCAGUCUGAAAACACAGUACCUGACAACUACUUUUCACAUUAUCUUAUCAUAUGAAAACACCUGUACUUGGGCCAUGUAUUUUAUAUGACAAAGAUAAUGUGAAAUCUAGAUGUUUGUACCCGACUUUUUAAGGUGUUCACAUCUUGGGUUAUCAUGUAUAAAUUUAAGUGCCCAGUUGCAUACUUUUAGGAUAACACAAAUUUUGCAUUAUUAUUAUUAUUAUACAAGAAUGAUUUUACAGCUUUCCAUGUACUUGUUUUAACCAAAAUAGUAUGUGAAAGUACUUUACUAUUCAAAUAUAAUUGGCAGCACGCCUCUUCUCCAUUUUGAGAUACAUUAAUAAACCAUCAUUAUUAAACACAUGGGUAUUUUAAAUGCAUUAUAUUGAACUUCAAACCAGACACUGGCUUAGGUGCACUAUGUGCAAUGAUUGUUGUUGACUUCUCUUUGUAUAAAUAAAUAAAUAAUUGUACCUAUA